AUUUAGAGGAAGGAGAAGUCGUAACAAGGUUUCCGUAGGUGAACCUGCGGAAGGAUCAUUGUCGAAUCCUGCAAAGCAGACGACCGCGAACUUGUGUAAUUGCCGGGCGUCGGGGAACGGGGGAGACUAAAGCCUCCCCUAACUCCCCGGCGCUCCCCGCGCACCGCGCGGACAACAACUCAACCCCGGCGCGGAAAGCGCCAAGGAAAACUCAAAAGGAUUGCCCGCCUCCCCGUGCGCGGGGUGUGUUGUGGCGUCUGUCGUAACCAAAACGACUCUCGGCAACGGAUAUCUCGGCUCUCGCAUCGAUGAAGAACGUAGCGAAAUGCGAUACUUGGUGUGAAUUGCAGAAUCCCGUGAACCAUCGAGUCUUUGAACGCAAGUUGCGCCCGAAGCCAUUAGGCCGAGGGCACGCCUGCCUGGGCGUCACGCAUCGCGUCGCCACCCCCCUUUUGCGGGGCGGCGGAUACUGGCCUCCCGUCCCAAGAAGGCGCGGCUGGCCUAAAUUCGAGUCCUCGACGGGGGACGUCACGACAAGUGGUGGUUGAAUGCCUCAACUCGAUUCCUGUCGUGUUCAUUGGCCUCGUCGUUUCUCGGGCUCCUUGACCCUUCUUGCUUGCAUCUCGAUGCGAGCCUCGACCGCGACCCCAGGUCAGGCGGGAUUACCCGCUGAGUUUA
rnacentral:rRNA from 1 species